rnacentral:rRNA from 1 species
UACGUAGGGUGCGAGCGUUAAUCGGAAUACUGGCGUAAAGCGUGCGCAGGCGGUGUGUAAGACCGAUGUGAAAUCCCCGGGCUUAACCUGGGAACUGCAUUGGUGACUGCAUUGCUGGAGUAUGGCAGAGGGGGGUGGAAUUCCACGUGUAGCAGUGAAAUGCGUAGAGAUGUGGAGGAACACCGAUGGCGAAGGCAGGUCUCUGGGGCCGCAACUGACGCUGAGGAGCGAAAAGCAUGGGGAGCGAACAGGG